AUAAAUUUAAGUAGAGAGGGUUUUCAUACUAAUUAAAAUAAUAAAAAAUUUUCCAGAAGAAGGGCAUGAAACCUAGUUUUCACCAUUGCAAUUUCAAAAAGAAAUCUCUCAUCUCUUGGUGUAAACUCCAGAAAGUGUUCUAGGCUCAGACAUGACCUCACCUCUAGAGUUUGAUAGCAGAUCUUGAUCCAAGGAAAGUGUUCUAGGCUCAGACAUGACCUCACCUCUAGAGUUUGAUAGCAGAUCUUGAUUUAAGGGUGAACACUCCGUCUCCAGGCUGCCAUGGGUCAUCUUAUUUCUUCUUGUCCAUCUUUCGGUCAAUGAAACAUUCUUUAUUUACUUUAUUUUUG